AGUGAACGCUGGCGGUAGGCCUAACACAUGCAAGUCGAACGGCAGCACAGUAAGAGCUUGCUCUUACGGGUGGCGAGUGGCGGACGGGUGAGGAAUACAUCGGAAUCUACUUUUUCGUGGGGGAUAACGUAGGGAAACUUACGCUAAUACCGCAUACGACCUACGGGUGAAAGCAGGGGAUCUUCGGACCUUGCGCGAUUGAAUGAGCCGAUGUCGGAUUAGCUAGUUGGCGGGGUAAAGGCCCACCAAGGCGACGAUCCGUAGCUGGUCUGAGAGGAUGAUCAGCCACACUGGAACUGAGACACGGUCCAGACUCCUACGGGAGGCAGCAGUGGGGAAUAUUGGACAAUGGGCGCAAGCCCGAUCCAGCCAUACCGCGUGGGUGAAGAAGGCCUUCGGGUUGUAAAGCCCUUUUGUUGGGAAAGAAAAGCAGCAGGUUAAUACCCCGCUGUUCUGACGGUACCCAAAGAAUAAGCACCGGCUAACUUCGU
rnacentral:rRNA from 1 species